UACAGAGGGUGCAAGCGUUGCUCGGAAUCAUUGGGCGUAAAGGGUAGGUAGGUGGUCUCAUUUGUGUGGGGUGAAAGCCUUGGGCUUAACUCAAGAAGUGCCCCGCAAACGGUGAGACUGGAGUCCUAGAGAGGUUAGCGGAAUUCCCGGUGUAGCGGUGAAAUGCGUAGAGAUCGGGAGGAACACCAGAGGCGAAGGCGGCUAACUGGAUAGGCACUGACACUCAACUACGAAAGCGCGGGGAGCAAACAGG
rnacentral:rRNA from 1 species